rnacentral:tRNA from 1 species
CACUAGAAAGCUAAUAGGGUCUAAGCGCUAGCCUUUUAAGCUAGACAUUGGUGCCUCCCAACCACCUCUGGUGA